rfam:Cavia porcellus supercont2_23 genomic scaffold, whole genome shotgun sequence.
UGGCACCCAGCAUGGGGGCUCUUGGCACGAGGGAGUUAAUGAGAGAGCCGUUCGAGAAUGCCAGCGAGAAGUAAAAACAAAUUGAAUCAAGGAUCAAAGCUAAGAGUGAAAACAAACUGAAUCAAGGAUUGAAGCUAAGAGUGAAAGCAUAUUGAAUCAAGGACCGAGGCUGCCUGGACGACCAUUCAUGAACAGCAAACCCAUUCCCUUUCCCGGACAAGGGUCAAGCAUUGAGCGAACAUGAAUUGUUUGUGGGAGGCCUUAACAAGGCAUUAAAGACAAGAGGGUUAAAGGUUAGAACAAAAGAAUUGUUGCAGUAUUUUCAGUUUAUCCAUAAGGUUUGUCCUU